rnacentral:rRNA from 1 species
AUUGAACGCUGGCGGCAUGCCUUACACAUGCAAGUCGAACGGCAGCGGACCUUCGGGUGCCGGCGAGUGGCGAACGGGUGAGUAAAGUAUCGGAACGUACCUUUCAGUGGGGGAUAACGUAGCGAAAGUUACGCUAAUACCGCAUAUUCUGUGAGCAGGAAAGCAGGGGAUCGCAAGACCUUGCGCUGAUUGAGCGGCCGAUAUCAGAUUAGCUAGUUGGUGAGGUAAAGGCUCACCAAGGCGACGAUCUGUAGCGGGUCUGAGAGGAUGAUCCGCCACACUGGAACUGAGACACGGUCCAGACUCCUACGGGAGGCAGCAGUGGGGAAUUUUCGGCAAUGGGCGAAAGCCUGACCGAGCGACGCCGCGUGAGGGACGAAGGCCUUCGGGUUGUAAACCUCUGUCUGGGGGGAUGAGAACGGACGGUACCCCCGGAGGAAGCCCCGGCUAACUACGUG